UACGUAGGGGGCUAGCGUUGUCCGGAAUCAUUGGGCGUAAAGAGCGCGUAGGCGGCCAGAUAAGUCCGGUGUGAAAGUCACAGGCUCAACCUGUGAAUGCCGCUGGAAACUGUCUGGCUAGAGUCCGGGAGGGGCGAGUGGAAUUCCUGGUGUAGCGGUGAAAUGCGCAGAUAUCAGGAGGAACACCAAUGGCGAAGGCAGCUCGCUGGAACGGUACUGACGCUGAGGCGCGAAAGCUAGGGGAGCGAACAGG
rnacentral:rRNA from 1 species